AGGUAGUCUUCAAGCGUUAAAAAUAAAAGAGAAAAGCAACGAAGAGCACCACAUUUGUUGACUUCAAGCUACGAAAAAGAUUAUACGUGAGGAACAGUGAGCUAAAUGUGUCGUCUGCUGUCAUUUUUUCUACAAGGAUACUAAAUUGCAACUCUGUGAAAAAUUGGAUAAGACUAAAUAGUCGUUUUAGAUAUUUUGACAGUGCGUUUUAGAAGUGUACUGAAACUUGGAACUACAGGAAUUUUCAUUCUGUUUUGUGUGUAUAUAUUCAUCUUUUAAGAAGAUUUGAUCUAAAGUAAAUAUAGUGGUCUGCCACAAGUACAACAACGGCCCAUGAAAACAUUGAGUUCCUAUCAAUGAG